UUAAUUUGUAGAGCUGUGUAGCAAAGGCCCAUUUUAUAAACAGCACGUAGUUUGAUUAUGUUGUCGUCUGCUUUGUUCUUGAGUUUGCUGGAGAUUUUGAAAAAAAUUCUUGGUCGAUCGAUUCAAACAGAUGAAACAAUCUGUGAAUCAUCCUCCGACACCUGAUGAAGACGUGACGGAUUCUUCAGAGAAGGACGAGCUCACGCUUCGAUAAAUCAUCAACGUCAAGGGAGCAUGUAAAGAAGAAAGGGAGAAAAGAUGUUACAGUCGAUGAACUAAUACGAGUGAUCACUCCUCAAGGUAGAGUUUCGGUACCAGAUGCUGUGAAGCAAGAGCUGUUGAACAGAAUUCAAAACUUCAUUGGAUCAGUAGCUGCUCCUUGGUGAUCUUGUCUCUAUGGUGUGGUGGUUUCUACUUGUAGCUUAUACUUAACUAUAGAGAACUUCUAGAUCAUCUUUGCUGUUGUAGAAUUAGUUCUUUCCUAUUCCAACUCCUUUCUAUACCAAAUGAAACGAUGCAAUCAUUUAAAGAUAUCAA